rnacentral:rRNA from 1 species
UACAGAGGGUGCGAGCGUUGUCCGGAAUCACUGGGCGUAAAGGGCGCGUAGGCGGUCUCUUAAGCGUGUGGUGAAAGCCCGGGGCUCAACUCCGGGUCGGCCGUGCGAACUGGGGGACUGGAGCUUGUCAGAGGCAGGCGGAAUUCCGGGUGUAGCGGUGGAAUGCGUAGAGAUCCGGAAGAACACCGGUGGCGAAGGCGGCCCGCUGGGCUGUUGCUGACGCUGAGGCGCGACAGCGUGGGGGAGCAAACAGG